UGGUUUAGCACUCAUUGUC
rnacentral:siRNA from 1 species